CCUACGGGAGGCUGCAGUGGGGAAUAUUGGACAAUGGGGGGAACCCUGAUCCAGCCAUGCCGCGUGUGUGAAGAAGGCCCUCGGGUUGUAAAGCACUUUCAGUGAGGAAGAACGCCUGGUGGUUAAUACCCAUCAGCAAAGACAUCACUCACAGAAGAAGCACCGUCUAACUCCGUGCCAGCAGCCGCGGUAAUACGGAGGGUGCGAGCGUUAAUCGGAAUUACUGGGCGUAAAGCGCGCGUAGGUGGCUUGAUAAGCCGGUUGUGAAAGCCCCGGGCUCAACCUGGGAACGGCAUCCGGAACUGUCAAGCUAGAGUGCGGGAGAGGAAGGUAGAAUUCCCGGUGUAGCGGUGAAAUGCGUAGAGAUCGGGAGGAAUACCAGUGGCGAAGGCGGCCUUCUGGACUGACACUGACACUGAGGUGCGAAAGCGUGGGUAGCAAACAGGAUUAGAUACCCCUGUAGUA
rnacentral:rRNA from 1 species